UACAGAGGUCUCAAGCGUUGUUCGGAUUCAUUGGGCGUAAAGGGUGCGUAGGCGGCGCGGUAAGUCGGGUGUGAAAUCUCGGGGCUUAACUCCGAAACUGCAUUCGAUACUGCCGUGCUUGAGGACUGGAGAGGAGACUGGAAUUUACGGUGUAGCGGUGAAAUGCGUAGAUAUCGGAAGGAACAUCAGUGGCGAAAGCGGCUUCCUGGACCAGUACCGACGUUCAGGCACGAAAGCGUGGGGAGCAAACAGGA
rnacentral:rRNA from 1 species